GUAAACCUGAGAAACCCAAAAGAUCGAAUGGGGAGACUCAUCGUCAGCGGCGUUGGCUUUCGUGUGGUACGCGAUGUCACGGGGCUUCGGCUUCGCGUCACGCUGCCGCGUGGAUGUUCGACGUCGUCGGCGUGCAUUUCUCCCCUAGUAGGACGUCGCGACCCGUUGGGUGUCGGCCUACGGCCCGGUUGGUCGACUGUCGCGUCGCGUUCACGCGUGCACGCGGCAGACCACCGGUUGCCCGGCCGGCUGCCCGGCGGUAUAGAACUCUAUGGUAUUGAGCCGCACGAUUUUCGUGCGUCCUGGCUCGUCGGCAGAUUCGCCUCGCUCGGAUUUACGGACCUAGCGCCGUUGCCGGGUGCUUGGCGCGUCGUUAGUCGACGAUGUCCUCGGACCGGCUAUUCCUUACCAGUCAGCGACGCUACUGCUUUGGGUACUUUCAGGACCCGUCUUGAAACACGGACCAAGGAGUCUAACAUGUGCGCGAGUCAUUGGGAUUUUUACACCUAAAGGCGCAAUGAAAGUGAAGGUCGACCCUGCGUCGACCGAGGGAGGAUGGUUAGCGUCACGAUGCGAGCCCGCACUCCCGGGGCGUCUCGUGCUCAUUGCGAGCAGAGGCGCACCCAGAGCGUACACGUUGGGACCCGAAAGAUGGUGAACUAUGCCUGGUCAGGACGAAGUCAGGGGAAACCCUGAUGGAGGUCCGUAGCGAUUCUGACGUGCAAAUCGAUCGUCGGAACUGGGUAUAGGGGCGAAAGACUAAUCGAACCAUCUAGUAGCUGGUUCCCUCCGAAG
rnacentral:rRNA from 1 species